UUGGAGGGCAAGUCUGGUGCCAGCAGCCGCGGUAAUUCCAGCUCCAAUAGCGUAUAUUAAAGUUGUUGCAGUUAAAAAGCUCGUAGUUGAAUUUCGGAAUCUGUCCAUCGGUCGGGCUUCACUGUUCGUACUGGUGUGGUGGGUUCUUACCUUCUGAAUAACCAGCAUGCCAUUAAUUUGGUGCGUUGGGGAAGCAGGACUAUUACCUUGAAAAAAUUAGAGUGCUCAAAGCAGGCCAGUGCCUGAAUACAUUAGCAUGGAAUAAUAAAAUAGGACGGCAUGGUUCUAUUUUGUUGGUUUCUAGGAUCACCGUAAUGAUUAAUAGGGAUAGUUGGGGGCAUUAGUAUUCAAUUGUCAGAGGUGAAAUUCUUGGAUUUAUUGAAGACUAACUUCUGCGAAAGCAUUUGCCAAGGAUGUUUUCAUUAAUCAAGAACGAAAGUUAGGGGAUCGAAGACGAUCAGAUACCGUCGUAGUCUUAACCAUAAACUAUGCCGACUAGGGAUCGGGUGAUGUUAUUUUUAAUACUCAUUCGGCGCCUUACGGGAAAC
rnacentral:rRNA from 1 species